rnacentral:rRNA from 1 species
AUUGAACGCUGGCGGCAGGCCUAACACAUGCAAGUCGAGCGGUUGAAGGGAGCUUGCUCCCUGAUUCAGCGGCGGACGGGUGAGUAAUGCCUAGGAAUCUGCCUAUUAGUGGGGGACAACGUUUCGAAAGGAACGCUAAUACCGCAUACGUCCUACGGGAGAAAGCAGGGGACCUUCGGGCCUUGCGCUAAUAGAUGAGCCUAGGUCGGAUUAGCUAGUUGGUGAGGUAAUGGCUCACCAAGGCGACGAUCCGUAACUGGUCUGAGAGGAUGAUCAGUCAAACUGGAACUGAGACACCGGCCAGACUCCUACGGGAGGCAGCAGUGGGGAAUAUUGGAAAAUGGGCGAAAGCCUGAUCCAGCCAUGCCGCGUGUGUGAAGAAGGUCUUCGGAUUGUAAAGCACUUUAAGUUGGGAGGAAGGGCAGUAAGUUAAUACCUUGCUGUUUUGACGUUACCGACAGAAUAAGCACCGGCUAACUCUGUGCCAGCCGCCGCCGUAAGAC